GAUGAACGCUGGCGGCGUGCCUAAUUCAUGCAAGUCGAGCGAACAGACGAGGAGCUUGCUCCUCUGACGUUAGCGGCGGACGGGUGAGUAACACGUGGAUAACCUACCUAUAAGACUGGGAUAACUUCGGGAAACCGGAGCUAAUACCGGAUAAUAUAUUGAACCGCAUGGUUCAAUAGUGAAAGACGGUUUUGCUGUCACUUAUAGAUGGAUCCGCGCCGCAUUAGCUAGUUGGUAAGGUAACGGCUUACCAAGGCAACGAUGCGUAGCCGACCUGAGAGGGUGAUCGGCCACACUGGAACUGAGACGCGGUCCAGACUCCUACGGGAGGCAGCAGUAGGGAAUCUUCCGCAAUGGGCGAAAGCCUGACGGAGCAACGCCGCGUGAGUGAUGAAGGUCUUCGGAUCGUAAAACUCUGUUAUUAGGGAAGAACAAAUGUGUAAGUAACUAUGCACGUCUUGACGGUACCUAAUCAGAAAGCCACGGCUAACUACGUG
rnacentral:rRNA from 1 species